CAUUGUACUUCUAUUUUGUUCCCUUGGUCAAAUAAGGCAAGUUACUCCCAUAUUGUUCUUCCUCAAAUUGAUUAUUUUAAGUCUAUUAUAUACAGAUUUAGCAUUAGAUUGUUAACUUAUAGAAAAAAUUAUCUUGGUAUUUCUAUUGGAAUUAAAUGUCAUAUGUGAAUGAAUCUGCAGAAACUGACAUUUUUAUGUUAUUUAGUCUUUCCAUCCAUGAACAUUGUAUAUCCCUUCAUUUUUUGGACUUUUUAAUGCUGUUUAAUAAUGCUUGAUAGUUUUCUGUAUAAAGGCUUUUCACAUAUUCUGUUAGAGUUAUUCCUGAGUACUUUAUAUUUUUUGUACAUAUUCUAAAUGGGAUUAUCUCAUAAAUAUUAUGUUUUUCAAUUGUUUAUUGUGAGCACAUAUAUAAUAUUGUUAUUGUGUUUUGUAUGCUCAUCUUGAGAAGAAAGCUUUUAAGGCUAACUUAAAAUAUUUACUAGCACAAGUUUUUAUUAAAUAAUAAAUUUGGCAUUCAUUCUAAUUCAGCUAAAAUAAUGGUUUUAUGGAGAUGAGUUAAUAAUCACAUGCACUGACAUGCUAAAACAUUAUAGACCUUUUGUUUUAAGAUCAUUAAAUUAUAUUGGACCCAGUUUGUUAACACUUAAUGACCCCAUCUAGUGGCCAGUUGAAAUUGUAAGUGAAUUAGAAAAUACACAUAUAGAUCUUAUUGGAUAGCUAUUUUUGUUUAAAGAAUUAUGGUAGCAACAAUAUCUUUCUUGGAAAUGUCAAGAAACAGCAAUGAUUAAGUUGACAAUCAAAAUUAUGUUUGAGGGUUGUGUUACUGAUUUCAAGAUCAGAAUGAGGUAUUCUUACAGAGAAAAUUAUGUAAAACCUCCCAUGCUGGAGCCAAAUUACAUACUGGAGAUUUAAUUUUCAGAAUUGUCAUUCAGGGAGUUAUCAUAGGUCAUGUUCACAUAAUAUUUUAAAAAUAACAUAACCAACAGCUGGCUGGAGUCAAUGCCUAUGACCUUUAUAAUAACAUGAUACUCAGAGUCUAACCUAUUAGAGGACUAUUUCACAAUUAAAUACCCUUUAAAAUGAGGCCUAGUUUUAUAUUUCACUAGUUAAAAUUUUUACUUUGUGUAGCAAAUAACAAAAUUUUUUGCAUAAUUGUACCCAAUUUCAGAAAACGUUGGAACAACUUGCUAAUCACUAAAAAAAGUAUUUUUAACUUAAAAAUGAAUUCAAGAUGUAUUUAAAAUGUAAAUGUACACAAUAAGAUUUUUAUUUUAUUUUAUUUUAUUUUAUUUAUCUUUCUUUUUAGGGCUGCACCCACGGCAUACGGAGGUUCCCAGGAUAGGGUUCAAAUAGGAGAUACGGCUGCCGGCCAAUGCCACAGCCACUGCAACUCAGGAUCCAAGCCAUGUCUGUGACCUACACCAUACUUCACAGCAAUGCCAGGGAUCGAGCCCACAUCCUCAUGGAUACUAGUCAGAAUAGUUUCUGCUGCACCACAGUGGGAACUCCCACAAAAAGAUUUUAAAAAUGGGAAAUUAAAAUACUUGCAAAAGUUAUUUGUGAAGUGGGGAAGACCUAUCUAAUGAUAGAAUCUAUAAGGGUAAAAAAUUAAAAUAUUUUAUAAAACAAUAAAAAAUUAAAGUAAAACAACACUGUCAUGUCUUUGCUAAAGUUUAAAAAAAUGAUGAUUCCCUGUGUUACGCUAAAGGCGAAGACAUCACAAAUAGGCUUACUUGUAUUGCUAGUGGAGAGUAUAUUUAAAAUAAAUGUUCUUAAGGAAAACUUGGCAAUGCUAUCAAAAGCCUUAAAAUAUGUUUAGCCUUUGCCCCAGAAAUUACACUAUUCAGAAUAAUUAUAGGCAUGUAACAGAGCAAAGAUUGUAAGAAUAUCCUUCAUAGCACCAUUUAAAAUAUUUUAAAAUUAUAAAAAAGUAAUUGUCCAUCAGUAGGUGAAUUGGGAAAUUAAUUAGAGGAUAUAUUUACAGUAGAAUUUUAUAUUACUAUUACCCUAAUGUUAUAGAGUAAUAUUUGAAAAGAUUUAAAAUAUUUUUACAUAUUUAAUUAUGUAAUUAAGUAGAAAGAUAUUCUCAGAACAGUAUUAAAUGACGAGCAGAGAAUUACUUGUUAUUUUUUGUUUUUACAAAAUUUGUUUUUGUUCUUAUGCAAAAAAACAAAAUUUAAGCACUCAGCAGGGGUUAUUUUCUGAAUUGUGGUUCUCCAGAACUAUGAGAAAAUACAUUUCUGUUGUUUAAGUCCCCCAGUCUUUGACAUACUGUUCUGGCAACCUGAGCAGACUAAAUCACACAAGGCAAGAAGGUUUCUUUUUUCUUCCUUUUUUGGCUUAUCUAUAUUUCUAUAUUUUAUCCAAAAAAUAUACUAUAUAAUAUUAAAAGAUGGUAUAAAUUUUAUUAAACAGUAUUAGGAUUCUUUCAGUGCAUACAAAUGAUUCAGUAAGAAAUUCAUCAUUAGUAAAAUCAGUUAUUCAAACAUUGUGAUUACCUUGGCAUAUCUUCAUUAAUUCUCUCCAUACACUAAUUAUUUGGCCUACAAUUAGACUUAACAGAACAUAUUAAAUCCUUCUUUCCUUGAAUGUCAAAGAUUGAUAAGGUGUCUAAAUAUACUACUGAAAGACAGACUUGUUUUUCUCCCAACUACAGUUAUUAUUUGGAAACAAUGACCAUUUUAAUCAUUAUAUUUCCAAUUAGAGUAAUUAGCAUUCUGCCUUAGACACACAUGCCUAAUAAUGGUAGAAAUAAAUAUUUUUCUUGCAUUAUGAGACAUUUUCUAAUUAUCUUACCUAUCUAGCCUAUUUCCCUCUUCUGCCAUCAAAUUUCUAAGAAACAGUUUACUCCUUUUUCUUUUGUUAUAAUAAUAUCUAACCAUAAACCAGAAAUGAGGUCAUAAGUUCCUCCAUGGCAAUAUGUGAUAUCUCAUUCUUACACACACACAAUUUUUUUUUGUCAGUUUUAUCUUCAUCACCUCAAUAUUCCGUGUUAACACUGGGUAUGCUGGUGAGGGGAGGAAUGGAGGAAGCAAGGCCCAUGUUUCAUGAAUGGCAAGUUGUCUUUGUGGCAGCAAAGGGUUUGAACAAUCCUGGGCUUUGAGGAAUGUGAAGAGAGCUGAAAAGUAUUUGGUAGCAGGAAAUUUAUCCAAACGCACAGAAAUCCACAAUAAGAGUAAAUAGAACACUCAAAAUAACUAAGCCUGUAUUGCACAUUCAUCACUUGAGCUACCUGCCAUGUCUGAGCACUUUCUGGACAUUAUGAUAAUUCCCCACAUUGCAUGUCUCACCUUCCCAAAGAGGAAGCCAGGAAACCUGUAUUCCCAGAUUCCCUGCAUUAGGGGGCAGGCACGACCCAGCUUCUUCUAAUCAGGCUAUCCUUGGGAGACAGAUCUGAAGGGAACCCUGGGAGGCAGGUGUUCCUAGGAAUACUGCUCUUUUGUCAAGCCAGGUGGUGGAAGGAUCCCGUUCUUGGGGGGCAGGGAGUGGCAGUGUUUCUGGAAUCUAGUCCUGAGCAUCAUAAGUGACAUGAGCUAGUGUCAGUGGUAUUUCUGCUUAGGAAAGAGUGGUUGGCUAUUGCUCAUGGAUGUUCAGAUUUAUUGUUGGAUCAUCAGACCCUACCAGUUCCGUGAACUACCUAAUAUCCUCUCACCAAUUGCAUUUCUGCUCAAAUUUGCAAAGGUGGAUUCUCCAGGCUACAGUUAAGCACUUUGCCCAAUAUAUUAUCCCAGUUGUAACACUCUUUCCCUUUUCAAAGCAAAACAAAACAAAGCCCAACCCUAGUAAAAAUUUUCUGCUCAUGUUUAAUUAUCACAAAGACAAACUCUAUUUAUAGAUACCAAUAAGAAAGUUUUACAUGUAAAUCAAUGCUAUUUAUCUAUUUACAGACCUUUAGUAAAACAAACAAACGAACAAACAAACAAACAAACAAAACCUCUGGCUAAAACACUUCUCUCUCUCUGCAGUGAUCAGCAGAAUACAUUCUUCCUGUUUCCUUGGUUUCACAAGUAAUACAAGAAAUCAAACAGAACUUGUAAUGUUGACAACUUCUUCAUUAACAAAUGUUUGAUCUCUGCAAAGCCUCUAUUCAUUUAUUGGGUGCUUAAUCACUUAUUUUCCUGUUAUGCAAACGUCCUGAAAUUCUAUUUCACGUUGCAUGCAAUAUUGACUAUCACACAAAUACCUAGGGAGCAGCCCAUGAAUAUUCUCAAUGUAAACAUAAAGGCCAGCAGGUGAAUAUUUUUAUUAGGAGCAAUGUGUAUCCAGAGUGAAGGAAGGAAAGAAUACAGAGAGACUGAACAGUGAAAGGGCUGUAAUUAGGCCACUGCCCUCUGGGACAAUAGAUGAGUUUCAGAAUCAAGUGGCUGAAACUGGAAUUACCUUUCCAGCUUUACUGAGAUACGUUUGACCGAAAAUGUUAUGCACAUUUAAGGUGUUCAACAUGAUGAUUUGAUAUAAGUUUAUGUUGCCAAACUGGACUUAAACAAGAUUUUAGGUGCUAAAUAAGCAUUUCAUCAUAUGCUACAGCGAUUAUAUUUCAAAUAUAACUUCCAUUUUCUGCUUCAUGGGAUAGAUAGUGUACCAUCUAAACAUUUAUAUUUUGUGAAGGUUAUUUUUUGCUAAAAUUUAUUGGAUAUUUAGUACAAGCCAGAAUCAAGAUUUUGCAUCCCAUAACUCAUUUAUUUCUCCUGACAGCACAAGGCAAAUACUGUUAACCCUAUUUUAGGGAUACAGUGAUUCCCGGACUGGUUAAUCCUCCAAGGUAAUACAACUACUAAAUGAUAUUAGUACGUCUGCCCCCAGAUCUGUUAGACACCAAAACUCCCUAGACUGAAUUACAAAGGUUAUGCAGCAACAUGGAAAUAGUGCUUAUGGUUUUAUAUUACAUGCCCCUCCCAAAAAAGAAUAGGAAAUUGUAUACACAGUAUGAUGCAACUAUGAAACGUCAUACACAUAUGGACAAAAGCCUGGAAAGGAGCACAUGUCACGUGCUACUCAUUUUUUUUUCUUUUAUAUGACUGCAUCCGUGGCAUAUGGAAGUUCCCAGGCUAGGGGUCAAAUAUGAGCUGCAGCUGCUAGACUACGCCACAGCCAAGGCCACAGCCACAGCAACCCCAGAUCUGAGCAGCAUCUGCAACCUGUGCCGCAACUUGUGGUAAAGCCAGAUCAUUAACCCUCCGAGGGAGGCCAGGAAACAAAUCCUCAUGGACACUGUGUUAGGUUUUUAACAUGAGCCAAAAUGGGAACUCCAGCCCGCUCAUUUGUGUCCAAGAAACCAAGAGAAUGAGGAGACAGUCUUUAAAAGCAAACAAGAUGAAAGAAUGACUGAAUGAGUGUGUGCAUGUGUGUGUAACACAUAAAUGGUUAAGGAAAAAAGGGAACUUGCACUCCAUUCCUAAACACGUAGAAAAUACACAGACUUAGGACUCACAGACUCUAUGCAGUUGAGUACUGGGGUUAUUGUUUUUCCCCCGUAUUUUUUUUUCCAAAUGUUUUUGAAAGCUGCUACAUUGUUUUUAAAAUAGAGAAGAACAAGGCAUACACAGAAGCAGAAAGGUUCAGGCUUUCAGCCCCUGAGAAGUGCUGAGCUUGUAAAGGCUGAGGAAACCAAGGUCAGUCCCACCCCACUGCCUCCAGGGCAACUGCUAGGCUCUGCUUAAAGCUGAAGCCAAGUUUGGAUGGAGAGUCCAUAAGGUCACUGAGCAAACAGAUUUAAAAGGUCACAGUGUCUUGCUGACAGAGACCAGCAGAAAGGUAAACAUCCCCUCAUUCCAGGAAGAGAAAUAUGUUACCCUAGGAUCCUACAGAUGGAUACUUCUAUGACUGUUACGAAAUUCGUGGUUAUUUUUUUAAAUCGGUGACUUUUCAGUCUCUGAACCUCUGGGGUUAAGGUCACCAUGCCUCGCCAGCUAACAGACUUAACCUCUGGUACCACCGCACUGUAACAGGAGCAGCAGCUUGUGCCCUCUUACUCCCUGAAGGGUAAACAAUGGAGAGAGAGAAAUCAGAUGAGAUGCAAUUGGAGAAGAGAGGAAUGAAGGAUCAAAGGCGGCUCCCUGAAGGAGCUGUGCCUGAAGUUAGGCCAUGAAAAAUAAUGCGAAUACUUGGAGAAAGGGUAGAGAGCUCUUCUAAGUUGACAGAGAAUAAAUAGAGCACAAAGACCUAGAGAAAAGGAAGUUCAAGGCUAGCAUUUCUCUGAAGUUUCAUCUAUCUUUGAUAAUCAUAAUUAUUUUUAAUUUCUCAAAAACUGGGAUGGGGAGUUCCCCUUGUGGCGCAGCAGAAAUGAAUCCAACUAGUAUUUGAUCCCUGGCCUCGUUCAGUGGGGAUCCGGUAUUGUCGUGAGCUGUGGUGUAGGUCGCAGAUGUGGCUUGGAUCCCAAGGUGCUGUGGCUGUGAUGUAGGCUGGCAGCAGUAACUCUGAUUUGACCCCAGCUGGGAACUUCCAUGUAAUGCAACUGUGGCCCUCAAAAGCAAAAAACAAACAAACAAACCCAAAAAAACAAGGAUGACAUGUUAGAUACCAUAUAAUCAGUUACAGACAGGUGAUCCUUCAGUUCCAGUAGCUAAUAUUCUUCAGUAAACAUUUAAGGUUUAUUAGGAAGAACAGAUAAAAACCUUUAAGUACUUGCAUUAUAUGUAACAGGGUAAAGAUUUUGACUUAUGCUUUGAGAAAGGAAAACCUCAGUAUCAUACAGUGGUCUAUAAUGGUUUGGCUUGGUAGGAAUAGGAAUAUUGAGACAAACUGGAUUAUAGUCAUCAACAGUCUAAUAAUCAUGUCCAAGAUGGACCAGGACUGAAGCAUAAUCACCCACAAGGGGGAGUGGCGGCUCACCUCUCAGAUGGUCUCAAGGCUCCCUGCCUUCCAGUAUUUACACCCUGUGUAGUUCCUUUCCACAUUAACCAGGGUCGGUCUGUGUGGCCAACAGAAUACAGCAGAGGUAAAGGUAUGUCACUCCUGAGAUGACGUUACAGAAGACACUGGCUUCUGCCGGUCUCUCUUGCAUUCUUGGAACACUUAUUCUGGGAAAAACCAGCUCACAUAUCAUGAGCAGUUCUGUGAAGAGACCCAUAUGGUGAGGAACUGAAAUCUCCUGCAAAUAGCCACAUGAAUAACCUUGGAAACAAUCCUGCAGGCUUGGAUGGCAGCUUGACUUUGCAGCGAUCUCAUGAGAGACCUAAGUCAGAAAGACAAAGCUAAACUACUCCUGGAUUCGCAGACCUCAGAAACUGUGAUAAUAAAUGUCUGCUGUUUGAAGGUGCCAGACUUGGGGGUAAUUUGUAACUUACAUCAAGAGAAUAGUGGACACUGUGGGUUCCCAUGGGGGGUACAUUCAUAAGACAUCAUCUAAGACAGGAAUAAGCAAGGUCACACAGCAGAGCCAUAAUUUAGGAGUUGGUAAGAGCAAUGAGGAAGCAGCAGGGCUGGUGAUUCUGAUUCUCUAACCUCAACAAACACCUGUUAAACAAAUGAGCUCAUGUGCCCAACUUCUCUCCCCAGAUCUUUUCACAAAGAUCUGGAUCUUCUACCAGAUUUUAAUGAGUAUCACUCACUUUUCUGUUGUUUCAGAGUCAUGAUUACAAAUAAAAAGUUGUGUGACCUCAGAGAUUCUUACUCUUGAAUGUCUGGACUCUGCUGUGGCACCUUUGGGAGAGGGGACGUCAGUAACUCGUGCUCUUGGGGAGCACUCAGAAAUGAAUCCUGACUACUUUAUCUGAAUACCAUGGGCUGUGGCAAAUCUAGAGGUCCUCACUGUUGGUUCUGGAGUUCCUCUGGGGCCUCCGAUCUCCUCUUCAUGCCUAAUAUUUAGACUAGCUGACAUUUUAAGUAGCUUUGUUACCAACCCUUUGCUAAACCUUUCAUAUGAAUUUUGUUAUUUAAUCAUUAUGACCAUCUUGUUACCUAGAUACUAGUAUAAUUCUCACUUUAGAGAUAAGGAAACUGAGGCAAUGAAAGGUUAUAUUGUAAGUGUC
rnacentral:lncRNA from 1 species